UACGGAGGAUGCGAGCGUUAUCCGGAUUUAUUGGGUUUAAAGGGUGCGUAGGCGGAUCGUUAAGUCAGUGGUCAAAUUGAGGGGCUCAACCCCUUCCCGCCAUUGAAACUGGCGAUCUUGAGUGGAAGAGAAGUAUGCGGAAUGCGUGGUGUAGCGGUGAAAUGCAUAGAUAUCACGCAGAACCCCGAUUGCGAAGGCAGCAUGCCGGCUUCCGACUGACGCUGAAGCAUGAAAGCGUGGGGAUCGAACAGG
rnacentral:rRNA from 1 species